AUGGAGAUUCGGAGCAGCCACCACCCGGAGGAGGCGACCGGCAGUCUAAUGAGGCCGGGAUCAGACUACCCGCCGGGACUGCUGCAGCGAGGAGGAGCGGCUGCGGCUGCGGCGCACCGGCGGCAGUUCCAGCCCAUUCCGGCGCCCUUCAUGUCAUUCAGGCCGCCGCUUGCUGACACGCCGGCGCCCCAUCAUCAGGGGCAGCUCCGGUUCCACGGCCACGGCGGACCCAGGCCGUAUCACCGGCCGCAGCCGCCGCCGGGGAGCAACCCAGGUGCCGCGGAUGGCGCCGCGUCCACAACUCAGCAGCGUUUCACCGCCAACAGUGCCGUCUAUAGGUCUGCGGUUGGCGUCUACGCCCCAAGCCGGCGCAUAUGGAAUCCCAAGUCAACACUCAUGACUAUGUUCUACAACGGCGCCGUCAACGUGUUCGACGUCCCGGUGGACAAGGCCCAAGAGAUUAUGGUAUUAGCAAGCAGGGCAUCUGUUUCAACCCCACCCAGACCCACUGAAAUUCAGAAAUCAGGCUCCCAUGUCCCUGCCAAUACCAGAUUUGCAGUGCCCGACCCGAGGAAGGCCUUUGCAACUAACGUAUCCACCAUUUCAAGUCGAAUCCCCGCUGUGCCACAAGCUCCGACGCACUCCAGGAGCGCGCCGUCAGGCUACCAAAAUUACACUCCAGCUCCGACGACAUCUUCAGUCGCACCAUCAUCAGUUGUUCCUCCGGUAAGUCGAGCAUCUUCAGCGCAACGACCGAUGCAACAAGCAUCUUCAGUUGCCGUCGCAGAACCUAUUAGGCCAAUAGCUGUCCGUCAAUCUCGGAAAGCAUCUCUUGCCCGAUUCUUGGAGAAGCGAAAAGAAAGAGUUUCAAGUGCCACGCCAUACCAGUUGUCAAAGAGCCCGCUAGAGAGCAGCGGCAGCUUGGGCAGUGCGAGCACUCCAAGCAGGUUAUCUAGCGCAGACAAUGCUCCACCCAACAACAACUGCCAGGAGUCUAUGAGCUACGUUAGCAAUGACGCUAUGUUGGCAAUUCCCCAUAGGGUAGUUAUAGAGUUGGAAUGA
rnacentral:rRNA from 1 species